GCCUCAAUGGCUAAGUGGUCAAGGCGCCGCUCUUGUAAAGCGGAGAUCAUAGGUUCGAAUCCUAUUUGAGGCA
rnacentral:tRNA from 1 species